rnacentral:lncRNA from 1 species
GCACCACUUGGGUUAGGGGGGCUAGGGUUUCUGUUAGGUGUUUAGGUUUUGGGCUGAUUGGGCUGUUAGGGUUUUUAUUUUUUGGGCUUGUAUUUGGUCUGCUAUUUUUUUGUAAAUGGACUGGAUAUUUGUGCUUUUUUUGUUUUAUUUUUGUAUGGUCUUGGGCCCUAGCUAAAUUGGGCUUACAGUGUGUUUUGAUUAACGGUGGGAUGUGAGUAGUGAAUAUACUUGGUUAAUAUUCAGUUAUGUUUUGUGUUUAUAUAUGUGAGUUUUGUUCGUAUAUUUUGCUAAGAAUUAUUGAUAAAUUUUUUAUAUUGAUGUUCUUAUUAUAAACAUGUAAGGUUGUUUAAUUCAUUUGUGAUUUGGCUAUUUGGUUUUGAGUUGUGAUGGAAAGUUUAUA